UCAAAUAAUUUGCUUGGUUGAAUUAUUCUAAAAAAAUGCAUAAAUUUCUUUGAAUUUAAGAAAAAAAUGUUAAAUCCGAAACAAAAUUUUCUUCAGUAUAUAAAUCUUGUUUUCACUGAACGUUACACAGAAAAUGACCGAGAUAAUUUUGACGCGCCAUUUAGUGUGAAAGUGAGACUGAUCUAUGUACGAGCGUUUUCCUCGCACUCAUACGUAAUUUAAUUUAAGUUAAUAUUUCCCAACGCUGUUUAGCAAUAUCAGGGCGAUGUAAGGGUCUUAAACGUCCACCGAGACGACCGUUUAUCGAGUCAACCCCUUCACACCUCUGUCCUUUUCCGUUUCCCUCCGAUUUCCCAUGCGUCUCACCUUUCUUUUUUAAACUGUCUCGCAAACGUUUUGCAAAUUGAACGUCUAAGAACGCGUUUCACAGUCUGAGAAAAAUCUGAACGAAAUUAAGAGUAGGUUUAGACUGGGAAGAGAGUCGCUCGCGUGACGUGCCUUAAAAAAAUAAUAUGAUUAGAAACUUGCAUAUGUUAUAAUAAAAUUUUCGUUAUCAUCAAUUAGAUUUAUGGAUGUAGAACGGACACGAGAUUUUUUAAGUAUUCACACACGAAGUGCUCGAGUGAAACCAAAAUCCGAUUCCUGAUAAAUCGGAAUUAUAUCGAAAUUUGCAUUCACUUACAAUUCUAGCGCGUUCUGCCAAUCAAAAUAGUCUGUAGUAUCGUUGUUUACCGUUUGCACAGUCUGUAUCGGACUUUCGGCUUACAUCGAUUGCCCGAACAGCGACAACAUCCUCGACAGAGGGACAGUAUUCGAGAUAGAAUCAUACACAUAUAUACGCCCCCUCCCCCCACACACACACGAAAAUAAAAAACAAAUAAUCAAAGACGAUCCUUGCUAAUGUUUCUCUUUAUGUAACUUUAUAUGUUUUUUUAAGCUUACCAAACUACCGAAUGCCGAAUAAAUUUUCAGUCUUCAAACACAGUUAUAAUUUAAAUAAGAAUAGUAAUAUUAAAUUUGGAAAUUGAAUACGUUAAAUAAGUGAAAAUAAAUAAGUGCAAAUAAAUAAAAAAUGAUAUGUAUAUAUGUAUAUAUGGAAUAUAUCACAAUACUUAUUUCGGAUUUUUUGGAUAUACACUUCUACAUAUUUCACUAUAAAGUUAUUUUUAAAUUCUUUUCUUUUGACGACGACCGAAAUAAUUUAGGGAUAAAGUGUUAAAAUAGAAAAGCGGAAGAAUUGAAAGAGGUCGUUACACUUCAUUUCGCACUUAUUUUUCAAUAACGCUGCGAAAAUUGAACUUAAUUACUUCGCGAUUAAUAGAUGUCGGAAGUUUAUGUUUUUUUCAAUCUUCUCGGUAGCGCAGUUCGGUGUGGCAUAUUAUUUAUUGAAGACUAUUCAGCGGGAAAUGACGGGGAACGCAUCGGCAUCGUUUAUUCAUCGAGUCCCAGGGGGGACCGUCGAGUCGCGGGUGCAUUAUUCGUCGAAGGCAAAAUAGGUGGGCAUGAAGCGCUAAACUUCGACCAGAAGCGCGAACAAAGCGCGCGGGUUUUAAUUUUCCUCCCAUAAAUCGUGAGAUAUGAUCUGCCCGAAGAUUUAACGUCGUCCAAAGUGAAUGAUAAUGAGAAACGAGCCCUUCUGUCCGGCCGUUCUCUCGCCGGCGAUAUAUUCUCGUACGUGAAUCGUGUUCGUUUCGCGCGUCCGUUUCGCUUCACUUCGGUUAGGAAAAUAGCGAAGUUAAUGAAUGGACGUGAGGAAUGUGUCAUGUUUAUCGCAUUUCUUAAUUGCCCACUUUAAAGUUAAAUCGCGAAAUUCGCGAAUAUCAUCGGAUGUUGACUGUCAUUGUCAAGUUAAUAAUGUAUACAGCGUAUUGAGAAAUUAUAUGGUACAUGACAUGCGUAAUAUCGUGGACAUGCAUAGAUGAUGUUUCGAUAAUUCUCGUCGAAACAAUUGGUGAGAUUCUAACUAGAGCAUUUUGCAACAUUGACAAUCCGACGUACAGAAUACGUUUUGUCGAUGUCACGAAACGUUACGUAUAUAUGCUGAUGAGGUUUUUUUCAAUUGCUGUUUAUCCUAAGAUAUUCUGAUUGACACAAUGGGAAAUGAUGCCUUAUACAUAUGGAUAACCAAUCUUUCUGAAGACUAUAAUGCAUUAUCUAGGGAAAUUAUGUAAGAGCACUAUUGCUGUCCCAAUUUUUAAAUGAGAAAGAGAGAGAUUUGUUUUAAUAUUACAUGGCCGCUCCCGACGUCCGGCGAUGAUCAAUAAUAAUUUCUGUCGUGUUAUUUUCGAUACCACUUCGUUUCAAUUCUACCGAUUGAAGUGGCCCGCUAAAAGUCAGGCAAUGCAAUAUGCAACCGAUAAUCAUAUCAUGCCUCGUUUCGACACUACAGAACAUUUCGGUACUGAAUUGCAUACACAGUUCCCCUUAAAUGGAUUAAACUUAACUUAUUUAUUGAAUCGAAUAAUGAAAUUACCGCAUAUGCGAAAUAAUUUCUACCGCCGCGUUAUUUUCAAUAUCGCGAUCAGAUCCACCAAAUCCGUCAGUUUAAUUAAUUGUCAAGUAAUAAAAUAUGUGGAGUAACGUAUCGUAUUUUUUAUCAUGUUUAAAUACGCAAGUGGCGUAAGAAUUACACGUUUAUUUUCUGACAACAAUUCAGGUUUAACCACGAAGGAAAAUAUCCAAUUUUUUAUUGAUCAUUUCUCGGAAUGGGUAAAAAUAACCUUUGUCAAAAUAGUUAUUGUAAAAACGAUCUUCAACGUUUUUCAAUUAUGAAAGAUUGACUUGAAAGAUUAAAUACGCGCAACAUCCCAUUUAUAGGAUUUGUUUUUUCGAUAAAACUUUCAGUUUUGCCUGUAAAAAUUUAAAACUAAAAGUUGAUCAAACCAAUCUCAGUGUCUAAUGUGAGGACAGCUAGAAUUGAAAACUUGAUUGGACCAUAAAUGGAUGCUCAUGUUUGUUCGUGCAGAAUUCAUGACCGCGGCGACCAGUAAGAACUUAAUUACACGCUGACGUAAAACUGACGGAUAAGAGAACUCUCGACUGGGGAAGCCGAUCGCAGCUGCCGCGGAAGACUACUUUAAUGAGCUAUCGUUUGAGCCUUUACUGCCGCUCGUCUUUCGCCGCGGAAGUUACGGCCCGAACUUCGUUCUUGGUCCAGCCGGCGCCUUCAGCAGCAAUCUCGUCGCCGUUGUCAGGCCGGGCCGGGGGAUUAUUAUUUCUGUUGCAGAAGCCCGUCUCAUUAAGAACCCAGGAAAUUACCCUAAAGUCGGAUUUAACCUCUUUGCUCUCAGCGUUCCCAAUUAUAGACCUUAUCUCCAGUUAUCACGUUCCUGGAUUAGGUGAGGAGUGAUGCUGAAUACAAAUUUCGCACACACGCGGUCGGCGCACGUCCACGUGUGUGCGCGUGCGCGCGGAUGCGUGGAUUAAUGAUCGAAUGUCCGUGGUAUCGUCGUGGUCGUGACGAAUGGAUCAAGGCUCUCCGGUGUGACCGGCGAAUGGUGACAGACCCCCCGUGAAGAGAAACGGUCUCAGAGACACCAUUUACGGCGAAAGAAGGACGCUCAAGGGGCUAGUUCUUCCUCCAUAUAUGCCAUGGCGUUUACCGUCGAACGAUGUGACGAUCAAUUUUUAAAACCACCUGAAACACUCGCUGGCAGGUGCUGCUGGGAUAUUUUAGGGUUUGCGGAAUGUCGAUGGCCCAUCGAUGACGCUGACAUUCCCUCCAAGCACCGUAUGUAACACGCUUAUAUUUAUUAUACGUAUUUGCGAGUCAAUUUUUUAACGGCACCCAUUCUGUGGACGGUUUCACGUGGAAAAAAAAAAUUAUUCAGAUAAUUUGAAAGCCAUCUAAAAUCUUCGCAUAUGAAUUCCGCGAAUGUUGCCAUAUAAAGUUACCGAAAUGCACAAUUCACGUUUCCAAACCGAGCAAUUUAAUUUAAUUUAAUUUAAUUAUUAACGUCAUGUGUUUUAUACUACCGGUAUUUAGUUUUAAUUAUUUUUUAUUUAGAAUAUAAUAAUAACUCUUUCACGUGCAAAUAACAAGAGAAGUAGGACUUAAUAUACAGAAAAGAGAAAGCAAAUAUAGAAUAAGUAAUAUGGGGAAAAAAUGUUCUUUAAAAGGUGAAACAUUUGUAUAACGUUUCCUUAAACUCAAAUCUGUAAUAGAAUAGAAGUAAAAUAAUAGCACAUGCCUACACAGAUAAAAUAAAAUUACAAAUAUAGUGUAACAAAAUAAAAUAGUAACACGAGGUAAUAUAUAUAUAACAAAGAAACAGCAAAAUAAAAAAUUGUUAGCUAAAUAAUAGAAAAAGAGUAAAAGACUGCAAAAAAACUCGACAUCUAACAGAAAACAAAUGAAAUUACAAAAAAAAACGACCUGAUAGUCACGGAGAGAUUUAAAUAAAAAAAGUUCUGUAUGUUAAAACCGAUUGGAAAAUAACGUCGAUUUCUCUCGCGUGCAUAUACAAAGUGGCGCGCGUGGAAACUAGAGGAUUUGGUGCUCUGCAUGCCGUAUCGGUAACGAUAAACACGGCGAUAGACAUUCGGCCGCGUUCCCGGCCGUCGCGCGACUUUACUCCCCGGCUUCGAAUUCUUCUACGAGAAACGGAAUUCGCGCAAUCGAGGCCUGAGAAUGCUCCCCUCGGUUUACAUAAGGUGUUCAUGCAUUUAUUCGCGUCCUUACGUAGAACCUUUAAUAAUACAUGGCAGAUAAGGAUGCCGAAUGGAGUUUCGUAUGCGGCGGCGCACGGUUCACUUUUCAUGUGCAUCCGCAUGAGCAUAUCGCGGAGGAGAUAUUGGGAUGCGCAUAAGUUCGUGAACAUUAUGUGCGUCGUCGUCUACAUAGUGACUUCUGAAAAUAGUGCAUUAAAGAUACAGACAAACCGACGGAGUCAAAAUAUUAUCUGAGAGAAUAUUAUUUUUAUUAUGAACACGUUACUUCGUCGACAACUUAGACAUUCUUUUAUCCUCGGUGUUUUGAUUCUCGAUCGUUUAAUUCCUUAAUUUCUACUCUGUGCUCGUUUUCUUUUUAAUACUGUAAUUUCUUUCCUUUUAGUAAAUGUUCAAAGACGAUAAGUGUAUUGUGAAAAGAUGGACAAAAGUCCGUUACGUAUUUAUUUCAUGCCUGAAGGAACAAGAUAGACAAGACACAUGGGACCGGCUGUCGAGGAAUUUUGAAAUAACAUUCAGAAGAUUUUAUGUAGUUUUAUGUUAAAGAAAAGAAUAGUAUCCCGAUCUAUAACACCUUUUGUUACCUUUGGUUACCAGAUCAAAAUAGAAAUCAUAAAGUGAAAAAUUAUUUAUUUAUUGAUUUGCACGUAAAAAAGUUGCAGCUCAAUUUUAUCCGGGAUAUGUUAACUGAGAUUGUGCAUUAAGAUACAAUAUGAAGAAUAAUUUAUCUACAUUUUUUUUCCCAAAAUAAUUAAAAAAUGUUUUGAAUACUCAAUUCAAGGUAAUUAGAGGAAUUAGAUACGUUUUACAGGAGACGUUAGAGCUAGUUGACCAAUUUUUCAAUUUUAAAUUUUACAGACAAAACCGACAUGCUAUUUACCGAAAAAACAAA